rnacentral:lncRNA from 1 species
AAAGAAACAGCUGGAAUACAGUUUCUCCUACAUGGGGUACCAAAGAAGAUGUAUGGUUGGGUGUCCUACAAAUAUGAAAGGAAAGGUCACCCAGGCCUCUCAGAAAGUAUCAAAGAACUGAAACUCACCAGAUCACUGCACCAAGGCAAUGAGAUGCAAAAUCCUUCAUUCAUCAUGAUUGCUUCCUGGCCCCACCAUAGUUCCUGUUUUCUUACACAUUGUUACAUUUCUUCUCUGUCAUGUAAACCCCUAGUUUUAGUUGGCCAGGGAGAUGGAGUUGAGACUGAUCUCCCAUCUCCUUGAGUGCAGCACAGGAUUAAAUGCUUCCUUGGCACUUCCUUAGCAUUACUUUUCAUCUCAGUCGUUGGCUUUCUGUGUGGCAAGCAGCAGAACCUAGAGCAAACUCCUGGUGUUUUGGUAAAAAAUGUGGUAAAUUAAAUGAUUUUGAC